rnacentral:rRNA from 1 species
UACAGAGGUCUCAAGCGUUGUUCGGAUUCAUUGGGCGUAAAGGGUGCGUAGGUGGCGUGGUAAGUCGGGGUGUGAAAUUUCGGAGCUUAACUCCGAAACUGCAUUCGAUACUGCCGUGCUUGAGGACUGGAGAGGAGACUGGAAUUUACGGUGUAGCAGUGAAAUGCGUAGAGAUCGUAAGGAAGACCAGUGGCGAAGGCGGGUCUCUGGACAGUUCCUGACACUGAGGCACGAAGGCCAGGGGGAGCAAAACGGGG